GGCCUGGGGAGGGGUCCUGGGAGGGAGGGAGGGAGGCUGAACUGCUCCCUCCUGCUCUUCGGCUUCACCUUCUGACCCUCUAGUCUUUCCUGUUGGUGCUCCGGGUGUCUGUUUACCUGCUCACGCUCCGCAUUGCAGCCCGUGGCCACAUCCUUCAUGCUGCCGGGCACACUCUCCCACGCCACGUGCCCUCUGCGGGCACAUGUGGACGUGGACACACUCCUUCAGUGACAUGCACACACAUCUGUCUACACGCCCGUCUCCGUGUGCACAUGUACAGCUUCAGUGCUGCCUGAAGGGGGUCUCCUCCGUGACCUUGCCUCUCUUCCUGGAGGGGCACAUAGUACCGGUCCUCCUCCACUCACCCCCUGGUGUGCCCACCCCAUGGCUGAUAAGACGGGAAUGGUGGUACCAGCCUCUGGGUACCAGCCGGACUUCCUGGGGGGGCAAAGCCCCUCUGCCUGAAGCAAUAACAACAACAGCCGACCCUGACUUCUUCCCAGCGCUGUCUCUGUUCUCACUGGAGGUUCCUUCUCUCACCCUGAAUCUGGUUCACUCACAGGAGACCACCCAGGUGGCAUUUCAAACUUUGGGGGAAGAUGGAUUGAGGACUUCACCCAGAAUCUCUCAAAUCUGCCUGCCCAGGGACGUGGGAGAAGUCAACUCCUGCAGCCCACCCUUCAGGGUGAGUUGGGAUGGGGUGAUGAGUCCCUCAGAUUCCCUCUCCUCCGAGUCCUCUCCGCUUUCCGUCUAG
rnacentral:lncRNA from 1 species